UACGUGAGGGUGCAAGCGUUUGUCCGGAAUUAUUGGGACGUAAGAGCUCGUUAGGCGGUCUAGUCACGGUCGGCUGUCGGAAAUCCCGAAGGCUCAACCUCGGGUCGUGCAGUCGAUACGGGCAAACUAGAGUAUUGCAGGGGAGACUGGAAUUCCUGGUGUAGCGGUGAAAUUCGUAGAUAUCGGGGAGGAACACCGGUGGCGAAGGCGGCGAUCAUGGGUAGAGUACUGACGCUGAGGUGCGAAAGCGUGGGGAGCAAACAGG
rnacentral:rRNA from 1 species